AUUUUUUGAUGAUGGACGGUGUGUGCUGCAAUGCCCCAAAGGGAAAUUUGAAUUUAACAACCAAUGCCAUUUGUGCCAUCAUACCUGCAUGGAUUGCAGUGGAAGUGAACCAAACAAAUGUACUGCUUGUGGUACAGACAAGAGAGGGAAAAAACGUUUCCUGUACAUGGGAGAGUGCAGAGAGAGUUGUCCACAAGGCUACUACCAUUCAGAGAAGAACAGCGCCUGUCUGUCUUGCUUAGAGCAGUGUGAAAUGUGCCUCGACUCCACCCAGUGCAACAGAUGUUUCAAAGGAUAUUACCUAGCUGAUAACAGGUGUCUGAAGCACGAGUGUAGAGAAGGUGAAGUGGAGGACCCUAACUCUGAAGACUGCGUGCCAUGUGCAGAUGGAUGCCGGAGUUGUCAGCUGGAUGACCCGAGAAUAUGCAGAGCAUGCAUUCACAAUUACUAUAUGUAUAAGCAGCAUUGCUAUAAGAACUGCCCUGAGAACACCUACGAUGAUGAGAGUACUCUCCAGUGUAUAGAAUGUGAUGAAAACUGCAACAGCUGUGACCAGUACGAGUGCUACUGGUGUAAAAAAGGCUUUUAUCUCUUAGAUGGGAAAUGUGUGAGUGACUGCGGGGCUGGUUUCUACAGUGAUGAGGACUUUGCAGAAUGUGAAGAGUGCCAUAGGACCUGUGCAACAUGUGAAGGGCUCAACUUUGAUGACUGCACCAGCUGCAAAGAGAAUUUACAACUACUGCAUGGGAAGUGUGUGAAUCCAAAAAACAUGGUAGUGGAGGGGAAAUUCUGGAAUGACUCAAAAAAACAGUUCCAACAAUGUGAUGCUUCAUGUUGGACCUGUGAUAGAGCUGCCGAGGUGUGCACUUCAUGUCCAGAAGGGAGAUUUCUUCUUGCUGAGAGCUGUGUACGUACAUGCCCUCGAGGGACUUUUGGCGACCUGAAAAGUGGGAAGUGUGAGAAUUGCACAGAUGACUGUGAAAACUGCUCUGGCCCCAGGCACUGCCUGAAGUGCCAGUCUCACCCACAGCGGCCGCUCUACCUACAUGAAGGCAGAUGCUUUCAGGAGUGCCCCACGGGGUAUUUUGCUGAAACUGGUACCUGCAUCAAGUGUAGUGGAUCCUGCAAGACGUGUGAAGGAAAUGCCACAAAAUGUCAGUCCUGUGAAAGUCCUUUGCUUCUGGAGCAAUGGGAAUGUAAAAGCUCCUGUUCUGAGAAGCACUUUGCCACCAAUGGAAUCUGUAAACACUGCCCUGAGAUGUGUCAGGAAUGCAUUCAUGAAAGUGCAUGCAAAGGUACUGCAGGGAAUCAGCAUGGCAUGUAUCCACUUGGCUAAGAUAAGACCUCGCUGA
rnacentral:lncRNA from 1 species